rnacentral:rRNA from 1 species
GUUCUACUUUAGCUUUAUUAUGACCUUUAACAAACUACUAAGCUUAAAAGUUAUUCAAAUAAGGCACAGCUUAUUUGAAAAAGGCUACAACCUAGACAUUAGGGUAAGUUUAUUUCCCUCAACAAAGUUGGCCUAAAAGCAGCCAUCUUUAAGAAAGCGUUAUAGCUCCGUUAUCAAUAUUUUUAAAUUUCCAACAUUAUAUUCAACCCAUCAUUAGUACUGAAUGAUUUCAUAAAUUAUGAAAGCCACUAUGCUAGAACUAGUAACAAGAAAAUGAAUUUCUCCAAAGUGUAAGCAAAAACCAAGAUGGACCUUCCAUUGGUAAUUAACGAUUCCGAACAAACUAUAGCAACUCCUCAAGAAAACCCUAUAUACUACUCCGUUAACCUAACACAAGAACACUUCUGGAAAGAUUAAAAGGAGAAGAAGGAACUCGGCAAACUUUAGCCCCGCCUGUUUACCAAAAACAUCGCCUCUUGUUUAAAUAUAAGAGGUCCAGCCUGCCCAGUGAUAAUUUAUUCAACGGCCGCGUAAUUUAAAGCGCGCAAAGGUAGCGUAAUCACUUGUUCUUUAAAUGAGGACUCGAAUCAACGGCACCACGAGGGCUAUACUGUCUCCUUCCCCCAAUCAGUGAAACUAAUCUCCCUGUGAAAAAGCAGGGAUACCCCUAUAAGACGAGAAGACCCCAUGGAGCUUUAAACAUAACAGCAUCUUUAAAAUUCCAUAUACCUACCUUAUUAACAUGAAAGCAUUGUACGUUAGUUUUAGGUUGGGGCGACCGCGGAGUAUAAAAAAACCUCCAUAACGAAAGGGAAUAAACCCUUACUUGAGAAAAACAUUUCUACAAAUUAUUAAUAUAACGUUUAAUGACCCGAUUAUCGAUUAACGAACCAAGUUACCCUGGGGAUAACAGCGCAAUCCAUUUUAAGAGCUCAUAUUGACAAAUGGGUUUACGACCUCGAUGUUGGAUCAGGGUAUCCCAGUGGUGCAGCCGCUACUAAAGGUUUGUUUGUUCAACAAUUAAAACCCU